GAUGAACGCUAGCGGCAGGCUUAAUACAUGCAAGUCGAGGGGCAGCACGGUUAGCAAUAACUGGUGGCGACCGGCGCACGGGUGCGUAACACGUAUACAAUCUACCUUAAACAGGGGGAUAGCCUUUCGAAAAGAGAGAUUAAUACCCCGUAAUAAAUUGAACGGCAUCGUUUGAUUUUGAAAGCUCCGGCGGUUUGAGAUGAGUAUGCGUCUGAUUAGCUAGUUGGUGAGGUAACGGCUCACCAAGGCGACGAUCAGUAGGGGAUCUGAGAGGACUAACCCCCA
rnacentral:rRNA from 1 species